CACACUGGCAUCCAGACUCAGCUCUGAGAAUCUCGCCUCCAACUUCCCAGGCAGAAAUACACAUUUCCUCUGUGUUGCCACCGAUCUGGUCGAUACAUCACAUUUCGUCCUCGCAGCCCUAGCUGACGCCCAGAAGCCAGGGGAAGGAAGAGGUUGGGACAGACUCUCCCUGACAGCCUCAGAAGGAAUCAACCCUGCCGACACCUUGAUCUUAGAUUCCUAGCUUCUAGAACCAUGAGACAGUACAUUUCUGUUGUUUCACCUCCCCCAGGCUGUGGUACUUGGUUAAGACAGUGCUGGAAAACUAAUGUGUACCUAUUCAUACUGCCUCCUGAUUAUUGGAAAGCGCGUUUUAGUUAUCGGAUUUUCUGUGUUUGUUUGUUUUUUUUUCCUUUUUUUAAUGUUUAGUUUCGAGAGAGAGACAGAGACAGAGCACGAGCAGGGAAGGGGCAGAGAGAGCGAGAGGGAGACACAGAAUCCGAAACAGGCUCCAGGCUCCAAGCUCUGAGCUGUCAGCGCAGAGCCCAGGCGCCCCAAUCAGGUCGUUUUCCUAAUGCCUUUUUCCAUCCUUGGUCUGGCUGGGGUCUCCGGUGUGGCGGGACAGGUUCUGACCCUUCUUUUCACAGUCUAUGUGGGCAGAGGUUGGCCUUGCUGUGGCCUGACCGCUGCAAGGUAGAUAACUCCACGGCCUUACUUGUAGCUAGAAAGAUCUAGAGUAGUCUGGGCACCGUCAGAACAGCUGGGUCUUACUCGAAGCCUCGUGUCCCCGCGUGGCCGGCCAGACGCGCAGGGAGAGAUCCGGUUUUUAGACUCAAACCCACUGCUUGGCAUGAAGGACCAUGACCAAUGGCACCACAAACCCCAUCAGGGACAUGAAUUCUUGGUGCCAGUGCUUGGGAAUGGGGACG